rnacentral:rRNA from 1 species
GAUGAACGCUGGCGGCGUGCCUAAUACAUGCAAGUCGAGCGAACGGACGAGAAGCUUGCUUCUCUGAUGUUAGCGGCGGACGGGUGAGUAACACGUGGAUAACCUACCUAUAGGACUGGGAUAACUUCGGGAAACCGGAGCUAAUACCGGAUAAUAUUUUGAACCGCAUGGUUCAAAAGUGAAAGACGGUCUUGCUGUCACUUAUAGAUGGAUCCGCGCUGCAUUAGCUAGUUGGUAAGGUAACGGCUUACCAAGGCAACGAUGCAUAGCCGACCUGAGGGGGUGAUCAGCCACACUGGAACUGAGACACGGUCCAGACUCCUACGGGAGGCAGCAGUAGGGAAUCUUCGGCAAUGGGCGAAAGCCUGACGCAGCAACGCCGCGUGAGUGAUGAAGGUCUUCGGAUCGUAAAACUCUGUUAUUAGGGAAGAACAUAUGUGUAUGUAACUGUGCACAUCUUGACGGUACCUAAUCAGAAAGCCACGGCUAACUACGUG